AUGGCCGUGGGGAGUGGGCCGUGCUUGCUCGCCGUGGCGCUUCUCGCCGCCGCUUGGAUCUCCGACGCUUCGUCAUCGGAUAAGCAGGCACACAGCAACCGGCAAUAUGUCAAUUGCAUGCCUUGCUCUAGGACAUACGUUGCUGACGCAUAUGUCGAUGCCUUGACGAGCCAGCUCUCUCAACAUCGUGACUUGACUGAAGUACCUGACAAAUCUGACUUGUGUAAAGGACUUGCUGAUGAACUUGAUGUGCCUACGCUUUCAGAAGUGCAUCGUCAGCUGGUUGGUGAAGGUUCCCACCGCGGCUUGAUCUAUUCUGUCAAAUUUGGUAACUCCAAAGAUGCUAUGGUACAAUUCCUUGAUGGUUACGAUGCCAAUCUGGUGAUAAUUGAAAAGCUCCCGAGUGGUGUAUUUGCUGACCCAUUUGAGCUGCAGCACUUUGUUGAGCGGAAAGUUUUUCUUGAUGUUGCUGUUUUUGGAGACACGAACCUUGAACUGCCAUCCGCUCUGUCCAACCGGUCAGCUGUUGAGAUUCAUUUUGAUCUCAAACCAAGCACAUCAAUGGACUAUAACCUUGUAACAGAGCUUCCUCUCCAUGCUAGAUAUCCACCUCUUGAUGCCAGCGGUUACGCAACGGUUGAGUUCGGCAGCCCAGACCUGCUCCUCCGUUACAGGAGAAAGGAAACCCGUCCUGAUUCCUGUGUGUGGGCCCUCCGGGAUCUCCACGCCACGCCUGUGGAGAAAGCCGCAUGGCGCAUACCCUGUGGCGACGAAGCGCACACGGGAUUUGUAUCUAGCCUCACUUUCAUGUCAGCUCUGGUUUGCUCCAUGUCCAUAGUCUUAGCAGCUUCCCUAACUCCUUGA
rnacentral:rRNA from 1 species